GAUGAACGCUAGCGGCGUGCCUAACACAUGCAAGUCGAACGUGAGAGGGUACUUGUAUCCUUGAAAGUGGCGGACGGGUGAGUAAGACGUAGGUGACCUGCCUUGGUGUGGGGGAUAACCACUGGAAACGGUGGCUAAUACCGCAUACGCUGGUGAUGAUGGGAAUCAUUAUCAGGAAAGAUUUAUUGUACUAAGAGGGGCCUACGGCCGAUUAGCUAGUUGGUGAGGUAAAGGCUCACCAAGGCGAUGAUCGGUAGCUGGUCUGAGAGGACGAUCAGCCACACGGGAACUGAGACACGGUCCCGACUCCUACGGGGGGCAGCAGUGAGGAAUAUUCGGCAAUGGGGGCAACCCUGACCGAGCAACGCCGCGUGGAGGAUGACGGUUUUUGGAUUGUAAACUCCUUUUCUCAGGGAAGAGUGAGGACGGUACCUGAGGAAUAAGUCACGGCUAACUACGUG
rnacentral:rRNA from 1 species